ACCGCAACCAACCGUUCGAAAACACAUAAAAAAGUAAAAAAAGAAGAAAGUUAUCCCAAUGGCCAAGGAAAGGGCGUAUCAGCUUAAACCGGUCCCUCACUAGCAGCGGGUUAGGCUAUUUGCUAGUCUUCCUCCGUUGUCCGUUGCAGCCGUCAGUGUAGUCUCGACCGGUGUGGAGUGCUGACGUACGUGCCGCGUUCCUCUCAUGUCCGUGAAGGGAGAACCGCGAUGAAUUCCUCAGAGGAAGCAGUGUAACGACCUUUUCUCUCUCUCUUCGUAGGACCCGAGCUUCCUUACGGCCCAUGACGAUGAACUGGACGCUCAUGACCAUCGCUGUCAUGUCAUUGGUAUCGACAGUGACGAUGGGGAACCAGCAGCAUCAGACGGGCCUGAAGAUGGGUCAUCUCUCGUCGUAUACAGCAUCUCAGGGGCUCAGUCCAGGGCAGAGUUGGGAGGCGAAACCACGAGACAACGACCUUACGCCUGUCCAAGAUCCUCUCUCCAUCUCCCCCGUGCCAAGGCGAAGGAAGAAGAAUAAGAAGAGGAAGAAGAAGAGGAGGAGGAAGAGGAGAAGAAACUCUCCCCCUAAAUUCGUGGAGAGAUUCGUGCGACGGAUAAUGAACAACAGAAUGAAGGACAGAGUUA